rnacentral:rRNA from 1 species
UAAAACGUAGGAGACAAACGUUAUCCGGAGUUACUGGGCGUAAAGGGCGUGCAGGCGGCUGUUUAAGUUCGGCGUGAAAGGCUUCGGCUCAACCGGGGUAGGUCGUCGGAUACUGGACAGCUAGAGGGUGAUAGAGGCGGGUGGAAUUCCGGGUGUAGUGGUGAAAUGCGUAGAGAUCCGGAGGAACACCAGUGGCGAAGGCGACCCGCUGGAUCACACCUGACGCUGAGACGCGACAGCAUGGGGAGCGAACGGGAUUAGAAACCCCGGUAGUCCAUGCCGUAAACGAUGCCAACUCGAUGUUCGGGAGGGGAAACUCUCCUGGGUAUCUCAGCAAACGCGGUAAGUUGGCCGCCUGGGGAGUACGGUCGCAAGGCUA